rnacentral:rRNA from 1 species
GAUCCUGGCUCAGAUUGAACGCUGGCGGCAGGCCUAACACAUGCAAGUCGAACGGUAACAGGAAGCAGCUUGCUGUUUCGCUGACGAGUGGCGGACGGGUGAGUAAUGUCUGGGAAACUGCCUGAUGGAGGGGGAUAACUACUGGAAACGGUAGCUAAUACCGCAUAACGUCGCAAGACCAAAGAGGGGGACCCUCGGGCCUCUUGCCAUCGGAUGUGCCCAGAUGGGAUUAGCUAGUAGGUGGGG